rnacentral:misc_RNA from 1 species
CUUAUGGCAUAUGCACGAGUCGCACCAUAAACCAAGAGAAGGACCGUUCGAAUUGAACGAUGUUUUCGCCAUUGUCAACGCUGUGCCCGCCAUAGCUCUUCUUUCUUACGGCUUCUUCCAUAAAGGCCUUGUUCCUGGUCUCUGCUUCGGCGCUGGCCUUGGAAUUACGGUCUUCGGGAUGGCCUACAUGUUCGUCCACGACGGUCUCGUUCAUAAAAGAUUCCCUAGGGGACGUUGGCGAUGGGACCCAC